rnacentral:rRNA from 1 species
UACGGAGGCUCCAAGCGUUAUCCGGAUUUAUUGGGCUUAAAGGGUGCGUAGGUGGUUUUUUAAGUCAGGUGUGAAAGACGGCAGCUUAACUGUCGCAGUGCCUUUGAUACUGAAGAACUUGAAUACACUAGAGGUAGGCGGAAUGUGACAAGUAGCGGUGAAAUGCAUAGAUAUGUCACAGAACACCGAUUGCGAAGGCAGCUUACUAUGGUGUCAUUGACGCUGAGGCGCGAGAGCGUGGGGAGCGAACAGG